UACGGAGGGGGGCUAGCGUUGUUCGGAAUUACUGGGCGUAAAAGCGCGCGUAGGCGGACCUGCAAGUCGGGGGUGAAAGCCCGAGGCUCAACCUCGGAACUGCCUUCGAUACUGCGGGUCUCGAGUCCGGGAGAGGUUAGUGGAAUUCCCAGUGUAGAGGUGAAAAUUCGUAGAUAUUGGGAAGAACACCAGUGGCGAAGGCGGCUAACUGGUCCAGAUCUGACGCUGAGGUGCGAAAGCGUGGGGAGCAAACAGG
rnacentral:rRNA from 1 species